rnacentral:rRNA from 1 species
UAAGCAAAGCAUUAAAGCACACGGCUCAACCGUGUAAAUGUGUUUUGAACUGGCAAGCUAGAGUAUGGGAGAGGUCACUGGAAUUUCUUGUGUAGGAGUGAAAUCCGUAGAUAUAAGAAGGAACACCGAUGGCGUAGGCAGGUGACUGGCCCAUUACUGACGCUAAGGCACGAAAGCGUGGGGAGCGAACGGGUUAGAUACCCCGGUAGUCCACGCCGUAAACUAUGGAUGCUA